UCCCACAUCGAUUAGAAAGGUGAACGAAACAUUUUUUAUAAGGGUGUGAAAACCUCUCCCUAGCGCAUUAUAAAAACCUUAAAGGGAAGACCGAAAGG